GAUGAACGCUAGCGGCAGGCCUAAUACAUGCAAGUCGAACGGUGUAGCAAUACACAGUGGCGCACGGGUGCGUAACACGUAUGCAACCUACCUUACAUUGGGGGAUAGCCUUUCGAAAGGGAGAUUGAUACCGCAUAAGACAGUAACUAGGCAUCUAGUAGCUGUUAAAGAUUUAUCGAUGUAAGCUGGGCAUGCGUCCAAUUAGUUAGUUGGCGAGGUAAUGGCUCACCAAGACGAUGAUUGGUAGGGGAACUGAGAGGUCAAUCCCCCACACUGGCACUGAGAUACGGGCCAGACUCCUACGGGAGGCAGCAGUAGGGAAUAUUGGGCAAUGGGCGCAAGCCUGACCCAGCCAUGCCGCGUGCAGGAAGAAGGCGUUAUGCGUUGUAAACUGCUUUUAUACAGGAAGAAACGACCCUUGCGAGGGGCAUUGACGGUACUGUAUGAAUAAGCACCGGCUAACUUCGUGCCAGCCGCCGCCGUAAGAC
rnacentral:rRNA from 1 species